rnacentral:rRNA from 1 species
CCUACGGGUGGCUGCAGUGGGGAAUAUUGGGCAAUGGAGGAAACUCUGACCCAGCAACGCCGCGUGAAUGAUGAAGGUCCUCGGAUUGUAAAGUUCUUUUCUCAGGGACGAAGAAAGUGACGGUACCUUAGGAAUAAGCCUCGGCUAACUACGUGCCAGCAGCCGCGGUAAUACGUAGGAGGCGAGCGUUAUCCGGAAUGACUGGGGGUAAAGGGUGCGUAGGCGGGAUGGCAAGUUAGUAGUGUAACUCCAGGGCCUAACCUUGGAACUGCUACUAAAACUGUUGGUCUUGAGUGCAGGAGAAGCAAGCGGAAUUCCUGGGGUAGCGGUGAAAUGCGUAGAUAUUAGGAGGAACACCAGUGGCGAAGGCGGGUUGCUGGACUGUAACUGACACUGAGGCACGAAAGCGUGGGGAGCAAACAGGAUUAGAUACCCCUGUAGUC